GAAACCAAGGGAAGGCGCCCAGUCUGGCGCAGCGCUGACACAAAUUUCAGAGAGUGACACAGGUGCCCUGAAAACCCUGGACGGCCAUGGGCGACAGGGUGCCUGAGCUGAGGCGCCUGUAAACCAGCAAGCCAAGCUCGUUCGUUCCCUGCCUGGGACCGCCACACACCGCUGAGCCGCUCCCCACCGUGCCUCGGGCGACUGCUGGUCCUUUAACAGGAGGCGCGCGUGCUCCUGGGAGUUGUAGUUUAUCAGCUUCCGACGCGCCCCGCGGUAUCUGGACUACAGCUCCCGACGUGCCCCGCGGAAGCCUGGCCACCGCCCCCGACGCGACCCGCGCCGCGUCCGCGGCGGGGAGUUGUUGCUGCCGCGAUGCUGGUGGCGGCGGCCGCGGAGCGGAACAAGGAUCCCAUCUUGCACGUGCUGCAGCAGUACCUGGAUCCGGCCCAGCGCGGCGUCCGCGUACUCGAGGUGGCCUCGGGCUCCGGCCAGCACGCAGCGCACUUCGCCCGGGCCUUCCCCCUGGCCGAGUGGCAGCCGUCGGACGUGGACCAGCGCUGCCUGGACAGCAUCGCGGCCACUACGCAAGCCCAGGGCCUGACCAACGUGAAGGCCCCGCUACACCUGGACGUGACUUGGGGCUGGGAGCACUGGGGCGGGAUCCUGCCGCAGUCGCUGGACCUGUUGCUCUGCAUCAACAUGGCCCAUGUCAGCCCCCUGCGCUGCACGGAGGUCUGUGGGGAGCCCAGCAUGGGUGUCUGCCGUGGCACCCCUCACCCUGCAUGGGGGCAGCCAGGAUGCCAGAUUUGCCCCCAUCACAGUCGGGGGGCUCUUCAGAGCAGCAGGACACCUGCUCAAACCCAGGGCCCUGCUCAUCACCUAUGGGCCCUAUGCCAUCAAUGGGAAGAUCUACCCCCAGAGCAACGUGGACUUUGACCUGAUGCUCAGAUGCAGGAACCCAGAAUGGGGGCUUCGGGACACAGCCCUCCUGGAGGACCUGGGAAAGGCCAGUGGCCUGCUCCUGGAGAGGAUGGUGGACAUGCCAGCCAACAACAAAUGCCUGAUCUUCCGGAAAAACUAAGCCCCUCCUUCACCCCCGCACACCUGCAUCCCUGCCGGAGGCUCUGUGAGGCACAAACCCUGCCUCCCUAGGCCGGACCUUGUGGACGACAGCCCCACCCAGUCUGUGCUCUCAGCCGCUGGCCGAAGGGCCCAGCCUGCUCAGAAUAAAGCAUGUCCUGCUGCCGGC